rnacentral:rRNA from 1 species
GACGAACGCUGGCGGCGUGCUUAACACAUGCAAGUCGAGCGGUAAGGCCCUUUCGGGGGUACACGAGCGGCGAACGGGUGAGUAACACGUGGGUGACCUGCCCUCAGCUCUGGGAUAAGCCUGGGAAACCGGGUCUAAUACCGGAUAUGACUCCAUGACGCAUGUUGUGGGGUGGAAAGCCUUGUGCGGCUGAGGAUGGGCCCGCGGCCUAUCAGCUUGUUGGUGGGGUGAUGGCCUACCAAGGCGACGACGGGUAGCCGGCCUGAGAGGGCGACCGGCCACACUGGGACUGAGACACGGCCCAGACUCCUACGGGAGGCAGCAGUGGGGAAUCUUGCGCAAUGGGCGAAAGCCUGACGCAGCGACGCCGCGUGAGGGAUGACGGCCUGU